CAACCCUCAAGCCCCAGUGGCUUGGUGUUGGGGACCGGCGACCUCGCCUGCACCUGGUGCAAGCGUCCGCCGCCCCCGAAAUGAAUUGGCGGCCUCGUCGCGGCCUCCUCUGCGUAGUAGCACAACCUCGCAACAGGAGCGCGACGCGGCCACUGCCGUAAAACGCCCAACUUUUUUAGAG
rnacentral:misc_RNA from 1 species